CGAAACAUACACACUUUAUUCAGCACAAACAAGACAAAGAUCCCUGUGACAUCUUUUUCCAACUUUUUCCCAUUAAACCCUUUGCAUCAAGUCCCAAGAUCAUCUUUUCCUGCCCAGGUUUGCCUUCUUAUGGAAGGAGAACCAUUAAAGCAGGCCCCAUUCUUCUGUAGCUUCCAAUUCCUUUUGACACACCAUCUUCCAGCCAGGAUCAUGAGGUUACCUAUUUUUCAAGUCCUUGCCUGCAGGACAGCAUUCUUGCAACUCAUUUCUUCCAGAAAAAGCUGCUGCAGAACCUGGACCAGGUCAGGAUCUGGUCACCCUUUCACAUCCUUGCUGAGUCUUCUCUAUGUUGCUCUGUGCCUUUUAACAUUUCUGUAAAUCCAGUCCAUCAGGGAGGUAAGAAGACAACAGAGAGAACACGAAACAGUCUCAGAGCACGGAGACUGCUAUGGACAGUGAAGGUGAUAAUUGGCUUACAUACAGCAACGAAGACUUCAGCUAGCUGUGGGCAAGCUUCCUAACAGUAAAAGCUAGAAUAGCUUGCUUAGGGAAGACUACAGUCCCCAUCACAACAGGUCAAACAGACUGGGAAUACUUCAGAUAUAGAUGAUGUUGGCUUAGGGUAGAGAGGCAUAGAGCUAGAUCAUCUCUCACAAACCUAUCACCUUGUGUUACCUGUUAAAAUAACAUCUGCAGUCUUGUGAAAGAUACAUACAAGAACAGGUCAAAGAGAGAACGUACUGCACAUCCAUCAGCAGUUCCUCUGAGACGUUAUGUUAGAGCAUUUGCAAGCAAAAAAGGGAAGAAAAUAAAUGAUUGCAAAGCCAAGUCACAGAAAAACAUUCUCAAGUAGUUUCCUGCUGGUACAACAACCAGUAAAUAACCAAGCUGCUGUCAGAGGCUCAGGUCUAUACUGCAAGCUAUUUGCUCAAAUAUGGAUGGUUUUCCAGGAAGUGUGUCCUAGGAAAAGUGUCAGAAUAUCCAUUUUACACAUACAGAGAUCCUGUUGCCCCCAGUGAUUUCAAUAUAUCCAAAAUGAGAGUACAAGGGGACUGCAAUAGUCUAGUCAGCCAUCUGGUGAUAUCAAUGUGACCAAGUCCAUCCAAAGAGAGUAGAUUCCUUCCCCGUGCAGUCCAAACUUAGGGUUUUAUUAAGAGGUCGCCUUCUCAGCCUGGACAAUACCGUACCACCUCCUUCAGAGCACACCGUUAAACACAGGCUUCUUCUGUAACUGCCAUUUCUGAACACCCAACACAUAUUUGUCAGGUGGAAAGUGUUUGCUGGCCAGUCAGGAGGAUUAUUUCUAGAGUCAGACUCCCGCACACAUUCAGACUGUGCUAACAAAUGAGUAUUCCACCAAAAAACUUCACAAGAAAACCAUAGGCUCUUUGUGGAGCCCCCAAAGAGAUGGGAGACAGAGAGAGCUGCCUGCUCAAGAGAAUUACAAAGGGCAUAGGGAGUCUAAAACGGAGUCUAAAGGGGUACAGAUAAAGUUAAGUCUCAACCCUGUGAUUCAGAGACUAUGAAAUUUUGAUUAACAUUUGGGAAGAUAGUUAUAUUAUAAGGGAAAGAAGUAGGUUAAGAAAGAGAAUUCAACUACAUAGCACACACUAUUCAUCAGUUCAUGUUCAACUACUUGCUCAUUCAUCCCAAGUAAUCGCAUUUAAAGGAUCCACUCAUGCAUAGGCAGGAUUACAGUCUGAGCUUACAAACCCCUCUCCAGUGACAGGAAAAAUAUCUGUGGUAAGAUGAGUGCCUGCAGCUACACUAAGCAGGCAGAUUUCAACCCCUACAGACCUGCAAACAUCACACCUACCUUCCACAUGGACCUGUGUAAAACCUCUACUUACAGAUUGAUUCUGACUAAAUACGAGGUUUACACUGGUCUGCUGAAAUCACCGUGCCUUUUAUUCAGCUGCUGUGUCAGCAAAGCACUUGCAAAUUCCCAAGGACAGGCAGCAGGGGGGAUUUGAGGAGCCACAAUUUUAGCAUUAGGAACAUUCCUUCUUGCCAUUCCGUCAGGAGGCAGCUGGCUUCACCAGACAGACCAUUCCAUUGAGCUUCAGCAUCUGGAAUAGAUCACACAGCUACACCACGGACAUCAGCCAGGGCUCUGACAGUAUUUCCACACCAUGCCCUUCAAAAACACUAGAUGCACCAGUGCCUUGACCACUGCGUCAAGGUGAGCCAGAUUAACUCCCCACAGUCCCUCUUCUACGCAUUUGCCCUCAGUCAGAAGGUUUUAUUCAGAUCUCAUUUCCACCCCUGGACAUGGAAAUGAACUACAUUUGAGGAGAGGUUAAAAUAACUGACCUGGUUGAGACUGUAAAGGAAGAAGUGCCACACUGUCCCAUUCUGUAUCACAUAGUCACAGGAGAACUGCAUGCCAAGGCUAGAAAACCUAGGGUAAGUCCUGUCUUGUUCUUGUUAUGCUUGUAAUUCUUGUAUCUAACCAGAUGCAUGUUUGUAAUCCUUGAUGCAAAGCCUUUCUGCUUGUAAUAUUACACAGAGUUAGGGCAAAAAGUGAAGUCUCAUGUAUUACACUACAUUUUCACACGUACAAAACCC
rnacentral:lncRNA from 1 species